rnacentral:rRNA from 1 species
UAAAGAGCUUGUAGGCGGUUUCGUCGCGUCGUUUGUGAAAACUUGGGGCUCAACCUUUAAGCUUGCAGGCGAUACGGGCGGACUAGAGUACUUCAGGGGAGACUGGAAUUCCUGGUGUAGCGGUGAAAUGCGCAGAUAUCAGGAGGAACACCGGUGGCGAAGGCGGGUCUCUGGGAAGUAACUGACGCUGAGAAGCGAAAGCGUGGGUAGCGAACAGGAUUAGAUACCCUGGUAGUCCACGCCGUAAACGGUGGGUACUAGGUGUGGGGCUCCUUCCACGGACUCCGUGCCGUAGCUAACGCAUUAAGUACCCCGCCUGGGGAGUACGGCCGCAAGGCUAAAACUCAAAGAAAUUGACGGGGGCCCGCACAAGCGGCGGAGCAUGUGGAUUAAUUCGAUGCAACGCGAAGAACCUUACCUGGGUUUGACAUACACCAGAAACACGUAGAGAUACGUGCCCCCUUGUGGUUGGUGUACAGGUGGUGCAUGGCUGUCGUCAGCUCGUGUCGUGAGAUGUUGGGUUAAGUCCCGCAACGAGCGCAACCCUUAUCUUAUGUUGCCAGCGCGUUAUGGCGGGGACUCGUGAGAGACUGCCGGGGUCAACUCGGAGGAAGGUGGGGACGACGUCAAGUCAUCAUGCCCCUUAUGUCCAGGGCUUCACACAUGCUACAAUGGCCGGUACAGAGGGCUGCGAUACCGUGAGGUGGAGCGAAUCCCUUAAAGCCGGUCUCAGUUCGGAUCGGGGUCUGCAACUCGACCCCGUGAAGUUGGAGUCGCUAGUAAUCGCAGAUCAGCAACGCUGCGGUGAAUACGUUCCCGGGCCUUGUACACACCGCCCGUCACGUCAUGAAAGUCGGUAACACCCGAAGCCGGUGGCCUAACCCCUUGUGGGAGGGAGCCGUCGAAGGUGGGAUCGGCGAUUGGACGAAGUCGUAACUAGA